AGGAACUCGGCAAACACUUAAAGCCUCGCCUGUUUACCAAAAACAUCGCCUCUUGCAAGACCAAUGAAUAAGAGGUCCCGCCUGCCCUGUGACUAUAUGUUUAACGGCCGCGGUAUUUUGACCGUGCGAAGGUAGCGCAAUCACUUGUCUUUUAAAUGGAGACCCGUAUGAAUGGCUCCACGAGGGCUUAGCUGUCUCCCCCUCCCAGUCAAUGAAAUUGAUCUCCCCGUGCAGAAGCGGGGAUAAUAACAUAAGACGAGAAGACCCUAUGGAGCUUAAGGCGCCAGGGCAGCUCACGUUAAACACCCCUAGUUAAAGGAAUGAACCAAGUGAACCCUGCCCCAGUGUUUUUGGUUGGGGCGACCGCGGGGAAAUACAAAACCCCCAUGUGGACCAGGAACACUACAUGUUCCCAAACCCGAGAGCUACCGCUCUAAUAAACAGAACUUCUGACCAGCUAAGAUCCGGCAGUGCCGAUCAACGGAACGAGUUACCCUAGGGAUAACAGCGCAAUCCUCUUAAAGAGUCCUUAUCGACAAGGGGGUUUACGACCUCGAUGUUGGAUCAGGACAUCCUAAUGGUGCAGCCGCUAUUAAGGGUUCGUUUGUUCAACGAUUAAAGUCCUACGUGAUCUGAGUUCAGACCGGAGUAAUCCAGGUCAGUUUCUAUCUAUGAGAGUGAUCUUUUCUAGUACGAAAGGACCGAAAAGGAAAAGCCCCUGCCCAACGCACGCCUUACCUUCAUAUACUGAAAACAACUAAAGUA
rnacentral:rRNA from 1 species